rnacentral:lncRNA from 1 species
ACGACCUUUGUUGUGGUGAUAAUUCUUAUAACCAUCUGCCUGAUGGUCCAUUUUCAUUGCUUUGAGGGUUUAAUAGCUUUGUUCCAAUAAAAAGUUAAUCCUUGUGGUGACCACAGAUUCUGUAUUUGAUUAAAGAUUGGGUCGUGUGAAAAAACUGGUUGUUCUUGUACCAGGACAUGCUGAGUAUAUCUUUUGCAGCUCUUGAAUGAAUGGAUAUGAUGUUUUAUCCUUUGUAUUCUAUGUGUGUAUAUCUGUAUGGACCCCUUAUGUCGACCAUAUAGCUGCAAAAAUGAUGCCUGUGCUACCUGUAUGAAACCUGUGAAGGGCUCUAUGUUUAAUGAGUAAGAAGUCCAUUUACUAGACAAAAACAAUGACACAAAAUGUGACCAAUAAAAUUGGAAUAAAAUAGUGCAUAGAGAACUCGAAAUGUAAAUGCCAUAGAUGACAUCUGUAGACUUUAAACAAAUUGGAAAACAUCUGAAUCUCUCUCAUUUUCUAUGCACAGUCGUAUUCUUUUCAGAAGAAGUGCGGAUUCAAUUGAAUAUCAAUGGGAAUAAAAUUAGAGUCAUCAGAAUGGGAAAAAAGGCAAGAAAAGAAAAGGAAAUGAUCGUACUGAGCUGAUAUUGAAGUGUUUUCUUUUGGCUGUAAAUCCGUAAUUGCAAGCUCAUUGGAGCCAAGAACAGAGGAUGAUGAAUUCUUUGGUUCAGCAGGUAGAAGCCGAGUAAAAGAAGGUGAUUCUUUCACACUUCAGUAGUAGUGGGAAGCUUUGUACAGUAGAUGUUGCCACAGACACACCAUGAAGCUGUAAGCAGCCGCACACCAUACAAAAAGUCGUGACUUUUAUUUCUGAGUCCACAGUGGUAAGUGAUGAGGUGAUUUCCGAAUGGUUGGACCGAGUCAAUCUUGAAGAAGUGACUUUCGGCUGAAAGACCUAGUUGAAGGAAUUCACCUGUCAGAUCUGCAAUGUAUGGGGCUUUAUCCUCCGACCUUACUUCGACAAUUAAGUCAGUUCGGAUAUUCAAUCUCAAACUAAAAGUGGUUUAAGAACCUCAAGUAUGUGUGUUUGUGAGUCCAUACCUUUCCUACGGAUGGGAGGGUAUUUAUAGUGGACAGAACGGUGUGAAAAAUGAUGAAUUUUAAUUUCCAUGGAUCUGAGACUGACGGGGACAGUGUUAGGCUUAAUAGAUAGGACAUAUCAAUGAUCAUGCCAUUCUGUCAUAUCACUGUCAUGUCAUUCCAUCAUGUAGAAGUAAGCUUUUCUAGUGCGAUGUCAGGUGCUAGAAAGUGGAACGGUUCGGCUACCAUUGGAAGACUGAGGUCAGCUCCAUGGGAGAGGCAACGAGCCGAGGUGGCAUAGGCCCGAGAGGGUUAUCUUGACCAAUCACUUAACCGAGAAGGGCCGAAAUGACGGCCCUCAGUAAGUAUUAUCUAAUAAAGGAAAUUGGCAUUGAUAUAGUUGCAUAUGGUCCUCUCGGCAAAGUGUUGUUCAUAGUUGGUGCAAAGGUACUUGUGAACAUGACCAGCAAUUGCUUUACUAUUGUGGGGGUUUGUGCUUGAUAGGCUUGUACCUUUACAGUUAUACUGUGACAUAUAGAAGUAUUUUCAUAAAAAUGGUUGAGUUUCAUUUUUCGCUCCAUGCACGUUUUCAUAUAUUGACUUCAACAUUUUGUUUCUUUUUUCAUCUUCAUCAAUUCCAUGAAUUGUCAUUGGUCGAUAACAUGGUUUCUUCUGUUUGAGUUUUAUUAUCUUCAACAUUGUGUUCCCAGUUUUUCUUCUCAGUUUUCAUCAGUUCCAUUAAUCUUGUCACAGUUGAUAACAUGGUUUCUUCUAUUGAGUAGCAUAUGCUAUCUGACUGCAGUAAAUUCUCUUAGGACGGUUGACCACACAAAAGAAAAGAUUCCUGCCCAGGCUCCCUAAUAGAAUGUUUAAUCGAUCCAUUGCAGAUCGACCGAAUUGGUGCAGAAGUUGUAAAACUUUCUACUGCACAUUCCAAGGGUGGUGCACUAAAUCAAAUAAACAAGUGGAAAACAAACAUACAUAAUUGACUAUCCGUAAUAGUGAAAAAAAUGCAGGUUUCAUUUAAGAGUGGAGAUAUUUGAUGAUAGUGUAGAGGCUAUCAUUGCUGUCUUUGAAGAACAAGCAGAAUUGCUGAUUGGUUGUAAAGCAUCUGAAUCCAUACAAAUCUGUAAGCGACCAAGUACAGUCCAAGGCAAAGCAAGUAAUUUUAGUUACACACAAUGUAUGAUUUAAAUCAUAACUGCUUACAUAUCUUUAAAACAUUCAAUUCAGGGAAGAGACAAUACAGCUUAAUACAAAACUAUGAUGGCUUCGAAGUUCGAGAUUUCUCGAUCAGACCAAAACAGAUAACAGGAGAUGCAGCUGGAAAGAUGUCACCGAUAGCGAAUGCAUUGCAGAAAAUUGAAGAAAUCACCAAAAUAGAGCUGUCUGUUAAAAGAUGUUGAUGACAAGGAAGCUUUCACGUCCAGUGAUCCAACAAAUCCAAUCACUAUUGAAGAUGAUGACAACCCACUGGUUGACUUCAAGAAAAGCAGUCCUGGAAAAUGGGAAGUAUGACUGUUGGACCUAAGGGACUCAAAAAUGUCAAGGUAGAUACAAUGCUACAUGUUUAAGUUUCUUUGCUUUCAGUUCUAUUUUCCAUUUGCUGAGUGCUUCUAAGUUUGAUUCCACAAAAACACAAAAGGUUUAACUCCUUUGAUAUUGUGCAUGCUUACUUUUCACAACGCUAAAUUCAUAGCUCUUCAACUUUUGGCAAAGUAAAAUUAAAACCCUUCCUUGCAAUUCAACAUGCAACGCACAUUCUCAAUUACUAGUACUACCAAUGAUCCUACAUGCAGCUGCACUUGUUCUCUUCUAAUUUAAUGUCCAAUUGCCAACGAACUUCUCGAGCAAAUCUGGCUUAACAAACAAACACGAAGCAAGCGUGAUUUGCUGCCCUCAAUUCUCAUGCUCUGUUGCAAAAUUAGACUUUUCUGUUGAUAGAAUUCAAGUAGGCAUAGUAAAUAAGAAAAGAAGUUUAGUAUGUUUGGACAAGAGUUUAUUUGAAAUGAUUAUUGUAACACACACUUUUUGUGACGUGAUAUAUGUGAGAUAAAAAAAUUGUUAGAAAAAUAAAAAUGUGUUAUGUAAGCAAAUAAUUUCCAUGCAAAUAAUGGCUAUCCAAACACAAUGUUUGCAUUAAAAAUGUUAUACUUUUCUUUUUUAUCUUUUCCAAAAUUUCGGUCACUUUUCAAAUAAAAAAGUAAAGUGAUUUGUUUUGUUUUUUCUGAUUUUACCCUCAAGAGACAAGCCUAAAUUUUGUGGUUGUGUGGCCAAGAAAUGACAAUCAAAUCAAGAGUUGGGUAAGCACAUUGCAGGUAGCAACCGUCCAAAAACGGCCACGAUUUGUUAAAAAAAAAAAAAAUGUAUCGCUCAAAUUACAGCUUGUAUGUCAAAUUUAAUAUUGUGUGUGGGAUCUAAAAAUUCUGUUCUAUUUUUACGAAUUGUUUCGGCCUAAACAAUUUUUUUACAACCGUUUUGGACCUUGGUAGUUGGUCCAUCAAAUCAUAUGUCUACAUUCUAAUUGCACGGAUGAAAUAAACAUAAGGCGUCAAAACAGCAAAUACAUCCCUUUGGAUUGCUAAUGCCAACAUCGGCAAGUUUAAUUUCUGUACGUGGCGUCCUGAAAAGUUUUGGGUUAGACUUUCACCCUUAAGUAAGAGUCGGACUUUACGGUACUUUCCGGAUCAAAUCUAAAUUAGUUUCACUAAAGGGUGGAAACACUAGAUACUCAAAGCAACUCCCAAGUAAGAGUCAGAUUCUGCAAGGGCUCUCCAGUCGAAUCCGGAUUAGUCUCGUUAAACGUGAAAAUACUGGAUGCUCAGAGGAAAAAAAAAAAUUACGUCCCUUCGGGGACAUCCGAUAAAAGUCAAAUCAGCAGAUACGUUAGUGUCUUACUUGCCUAAAUUUUUGGCUUGGACAUUUUGAACACCUCUUGUCAUUGUGGGUCCAUCAAGAGCCCCUACUCAUAGUAUCUUUUUUUUUUGGGGUCAAAACCCUACUUAUAGAAUCAAAAUUAGGAUAAUUUCACACCAUGUGGAAACACUUCGGGUAAAAAGUACAAGUCCUACGAAAUUUUUUUGGAAUAGAAGGAGUACAAAUUUAGGGGUGAAGGGUGGAAAUAGUCUUGGAAAUCUUGAAGCAAAGUAUAAAGAGAUCAAGUAUUUAAAAACUAUCAUGCAAGCAAACAAUCAAGCGAAUUUAGUAAAAGCCAGUUGAAAAGAAUCAAUAGUAAAACAAGAGCUCCUGAAAAAUAAUUUAGCCUUAAGUAUGUUGGUAAAAGUCACAAGCGCAAAAAAUAGUUAGAUGCAUUUAAACUCUAUAAUAGUUAUUAUUCACACUCCUUUCCUUUCUAACCAUUUUUCACUUAUGAAACGAUAAAUUUAAUAAAAAGAAAAAAAUAGUGAGAAGAGUGUAAAUAAUAAUUUUGGGAGUGCCAUUAAUGUUUUUCUUCUGCAUGAGGUGAAAUAUCAGUAACGAGACAAGAUUUGAAAGGUUUUGAUUUUCAAACCUCUAAGCGUCCAUUGCAGUUUUAUAAGAUGUCUUAGCCAAAAAAUAAAGGAAAAAGAAACAUAAAAAAAAAAAACACGAUAAUUAGUCACGUGUAGGCCUCCUUGGGUUAGAGUCGUCAACUUUAAGAUUCGUUUGGAAUUGCGGUAGGUUAUUAAAAAAUAGUUUUUUAAUAUAGCUUUUAAUAAAAGUAUUUAUUAGACGUUUGGAGACAUAGUUCAAUAAGUGCUUAUUGUAUUGGAUAAUAUGUAAUUUGAAAAUUUUUAAAUGUAUUUAUCUCUUUAUUUAGUUUAUAAUAUAUGAUAAAAUGAUAAAAUUUAAUAUUUUAUUUUUUAAAUUGCAAAAACUACUCUAAAAAUAUCAAAUUUGAAUUUUUAAUAAAAGUGUUUUUCACACCAAAAAUUCUAUUUCUAAUUUCAUGGGAUGAUAUUCAUAAAUAUUUUUAAAGUACUUUUGACACCUAAAAUAUUUUUUUAUUAGAAAAAAACCGCAACCUUGAAUGGGACCUUUGUUGUGUUGAAGAUGAUGUGGCAAAACUCUAAAGUCACCCGAAAAAGUUCGCCACGGUACCAUAACAUAGAAAAUGAAAGCAAAAUGACAAAAAAAAAAAAAAAAGAAAAGAAAAGAAA